rnacentral:rRNA from 1 species
GGAAUAUUGGUCAAUGGCCGAGAGGCUGAACCAGCCAAGUAGCGUGCAGGAUGACUGCCCUAUGGGUUGUAAACUGCUUUUAUGCGGGGAUAAAGUUCAGCACGUGUGCUGUUUUGUAGGUACCGCAUGAAUAAGGACCGGCUAAUUCCGUGCCAGCAGCCGCGGUAAUACGGAAGGUCCGGGCGUUAUCCGGAUUUAUUGGGUUUAAAGGGAGCGCAGGCUGAAGAUUAAGCGUGACGUGAAAUGUCCCGGCUCAACCGUGGAACUGCGUCGCGAACUGGUUUUCUUGAGUGAGUACGACGUCAGCGGAAUUUGUGGUGUAGCGGUGAAAUGCUUAGAUAUCACGAAGAACCCCGAUUGCGCAGGCAGCCUUCCAGUCCGUUACUGACGCUAAAGCUCGAAGGUGCGGGUAUCGAACA